rnacentral:rRNA from 1 species
UACGUAGGGUGGCGAGCGUUGUCCAGAAUUAUUGGGCGUAAAGAGCUCGUAGGCGGUGUGUCGCGUCGGCCGUGAAAACCUGGGGCUCAACUCUGGGCGUGCGGUCGAUACGGGCAUCACUGGAGUUCGGCAGGGGAGACUGGAAUUCCCGGUGUAGCGGUGAAAUGCGCAGAUAUCGGGAGGAACACCAAUGGCGAAGGCAGCUCGCUGGGACGGUACUGACGCUGAGACGCGAAAGCGUGGGGAGCAAACAGG